rnacentral:sRNA from 1 species
GGAACCUAGGAAAGAGAGAAUUGUGUUAGCUUGUAGCAAUGUUAACGAUGGAAAUUUGAGUUAUGUCAUCUCUUCCUCUCUCCUUAGGAAAAGAAGCCCGGAAAAGAGAGUUGAAAAAGACAUGGUUUCACAAAUUUGAAAAAGUAUUCUGGCUACAGCUUUGUUCCUCAUUUUGGGGCGCAUACGGAUGAAGCCUAUUCUGUAUCUCCCAGUCACCGGAUCAGUCACUAGACUAGAUGGACUUGUGAUACCUGAAGACCUAAAGAAGACUGUGAUGGGGGUCUGAUCCUGUGUCCAGAGAAAAGAGCUGGAGUCAAGCAUAAACGUGUACAGUGUGCUCUCCUGCACUAUGGAACCACUUCCUCCCCACCCCCCAAAGCUGUAUUAAUUACAAGCUGUGAAGCCUCCAGAAGUAUCAACUUAUAAAUGGCUGGGGCUUGGGGGGUGGGGUACUACUGCAUGCUAGGUGACAUUGUUUCUCAGAAACUGAAAAGGGAAAAGGCAUGUCAGCCAAGAGAUGGGACUACCAUCAGGUCUCCUUGCAGCUGCCCAACCAUUAAAAUGUCUGGAAGGGAGAAAGGAGAGAGGUAAGCCCUUGGUGAAGGGAGGGCAUCUUUCUUCCUUUGAGCACAGAAUCUGAAGGACAGUGGAGGGACUGGCCCACCUGGUGGUUCUGAGACACCUCACUUACACCUCAUCUGCCAGGCUGGAGGCUAAACUUCACUUAAGCCAAGCACUGAAUGGCUGUAUGAUCUCGGAUUAGACAUAACUAGCAUCUGCAAAUCUCGAUUAAUGAAAAAAGUUAAUUGGUCACUGUGAUGUUUUUUCUUC